rnacentral:lncRNA from 1 species
GAGAAAAAUCAAGAAGAUCCAACCAUUAGAAGAUCAAAAGGGCUAAAAAUAUUGAAGUCCGCUUAAGCCAAAUGUUUCCUCGCUUAAGCCAAACUACAUGGCAGUAGCAGUGGUUCUGGAAGACAAUUCGGCUUAAGCGAGAAUUGGUCUCGCUUAAGCCAAAGACCUUACCUGAAGGUGAAGAAACCUGCUCGCUUAAGCGUCACCUUUAUCAGCUUAAGCGAAACUGUUGCCCUGUUUUAUAAAAGGCUCGACCAGAUCAGAAUUGAGGCAUCU